GACGAACGCUGGCGGCGUGCUUAACACAUGCAAGUCGAACGGAAAGGCCCCUUUGGGGGUACUCGAGUGGCGAACGGGUGAGUAACACGUGAGUAACCUGCCCUUGACUUCGGGUUAACUUCAGGAAACUGGGGCUAAUUCCGGAUAGGAAUCCUUGCUGCAUGGGGGGGGUUGGAAAGCUUCGGCGGUUUUGGGUGGACGCGCGGCUCAUCGGCUGGUUGGUGGGGUAGUGGGUUACCGAGGCAUUGACGGGUAGCCGGCCUGUGAGGGCGACCGGCCACAUUGGGGCUGAGAGACGGCCCAGACGCCGACGGGAGGCAGAAGUGGGGAAUAUUGCACAAUGGGCGGAGGCCUGAUGCAGCAGCGCCGCGUGCGGGAUGACGGCCUUCGGGUUGUAAACCGCUUUCAGCAGGGGCGAAGCUUGUGGUGACGGUACCUGCAGAAGAAGCACCGGCUAACUACGUG
rnacentral:rRNA from 1 species